GAUGAAGAACGCAGCGAAAUGCGAUAAGUAAUGUGAAUUGCAGAAUUCAGUGAAUCAUCGAAUCUUUGAACGCACAUUGCGCCCCUUGGUAUUCCGAGGGGCAUGCCUGUUCGAGCGUCAUUAUAACCCUCAAGCUCAGCUUGGUGUUGGGGCCUGCUGCAGUGGCAGCCCUUAAAAUCAGUGGCGGCGCCAUCUGGCUCUAAGCGUAGUAAUUCUUCUCGCUAUGGAGUCCUGGUGGAUGCUUGCCAUCAACCCCCAAUUUUUCUAUGGUUGACCUCGGAUCAGGUAGGGAUACCCGCUGAACUUAAGCAUAUCAAAAGCGGAGGA
rnacentral:misc_RNA from 1 species